UCUACCAUCCAACUCACCAUGAUCAACCCCGUCUACCAUCCAGCUCACCAUAUUUUGAAAUGACAUGAUAUUGUUUGGCAGAAUGAACACAGUAUAGUGAAUAUUUUCCCAAACUGCGUUACCCACUCCAGUCAGCAGAUGACGAUGUGAGUCUUUC